UACGUAGGGUGCGAGCGUUAAUCGGAAUUACUGGGCGUAAAGCGUGCGCAGGCGGUUCGUUGUGUCGGUGGUGAAAGCCCCGGGCUUAACCUGGGAAUGGCCAUGGAAACUGGCGAACUGGAGUGUGGCAGAGGGGGUGGAAUUCCGCGGUGUAGCAGUGAAAUGCGUAGAGAUGCGGAGGAACACCGAUGGCGAAGGCAGCCCCCUGGGCUAGCACUGGACGCCUCGAGCACGAAAGCGUGGGAG
rnacentral:rRNA from 1 species